UACGAAGGGGGCUAGCGUUGUUCGGAAUUACUGGGCGUAAAGGGCGCGUAGGCGGUACUUCAAGUCAGGCGUGAAAGCCCCGGGCUCAACCUGGGAACCGCGCUUGAGACUGGAGAACUAGAGUUCGGGAGAGGAUGGUGGAAUUCCCAGUGUAGAGGUGAAAUUCGUAGAUAUUGGGAAGAACACCGAUGGCGAAGGCAGCCAUCUGGACCGACACUGACGCUGAGGCGCGAAAGCGUGGGAGCAAACAGG
rnacentral:rRNA from 1 species